GUGAAAAUCCCUUCAAAGUCCUGCAUAACGCAGUCGUCCUCCUGCACAACAUGGACGCCGCCAUCUUUCUUCGUCUACAUGAAGGACCCGGAGGGGAGUCGUAGGUGUCCACAGCGGCGCCUGUUCACGGCGGCGGGACAACUGCGGCUUGCCAGCGAAUGAUCUCAGCGGACCUCGACAUCGCAGAAAAUAACCUCGUGCUCGUGAUAUAAUAAGAGAAUAAUCACAUGUGACGGACUGUAAACGUGGAAAAAAGCAUCAGGAAAAUUCGUAAAGUAACCCUUCAGAGAUUCAAAGCAUGAGGCGCACAAUAGCAGCUACGAGCAGAAUAAGACGAUGUCAAAAUCUACAUCCGCAUCAUUCUAGAUACCCCGGGGCCUCAUCUUUCUCCUGGUUACCUUAGCAGUAAGGAAAUGUAGCAAAAGACGCUUUCGGACCGGACGGUUCUGGGUACCCUGUGAGGUUUACUGGAGAGCCCCCCCGAGAACUUCUUACCUUCCACAGGGCCAUUAUUCUGUUUGCGUUCACGCUGCCAAUGAUGAAUAGUGAAGUGACGAAAUCCUGCUGGUGGUUGGUAUAGCAACGCUGUUUAGUCCUGCACAACAAACUCACAUAUUUGGCGAGAUAAACCCUGGACAUCACUGUCGGCCCAUCCCCCUGCGUUUUGUUCCAUUAUCAUAAUUUUUGUUUUUACGCUAACGUUUAAACGAUAAGAUUUAACCUUCUCGGAAAUAUGGACUGAAUAAAGAUUGUUCUUGCGGCACAGCCGCGCACAAAAAGCUCAUAU